rnacentral:rRNA from 1 species
UCGAGAAUCUUCGGCAAUGGGCGCAAGCCUGACCGAGCGACGCCGCGUGGAGGAUGAAGGCCUUCGGGUUGUAAACUCCUGUCGAGGGGGAAGAAGGCGCAAGCUUGACUGAUCCCUGGAGGAAGCACGGGCUAAGUUCGUGCCAGCAGCCGCGGUAAGACGAACCGUGCGAACGUUAUUCGGAAUCACUGGGCUUAAAGCGCGUGUAGGCGGAAGGGCACGUCGGUCGCUGAAAUCCCCCGGCUCAACCGGGGAACGGGCGCCGAUACGGCCUUUCUGGAGGAACGUAGGGGGACCUGGAACUUCCGGUGGAGCGGUGAAAUGCGUUGAGAUCGGAAGGAACGCCCGUGGCGAAAGCGAGGUCCUGGACGUUUUCUGACGCUGAGACGCGAAAGCCAGGGGAGCAAACGGGAUUAGAUACCCCCGUAGUCC